rnacentral:rRNA from 1 species
AUUGAACGCUGGCGGAAUGCUUUACACAUGCAAGUCGAACGGCAGCACGGACUUCGGUCUGGUGGCGAGUGGCGAACGGGUGAGUAAUACAUCGGAACGUGCCCAGUCGUGGGGGAUAACGUAGCGAAAGCUACGCUAAUACCGCAUACGAUCUAAGGAUGAAAGCGGGGGAUCGCAAGACCUCGCGCGAUUGGAGCGGCCGAGGGCAGAUUAGGGAGUUGGUAGGGUAAAGGCCUACCAAGCCGACGAUCUGUAGCUGGUCCGAGAGGAUGAGCAGCCACACUGGGACUGAGACACGGCCCAGACUCCUACGGGGGGCAGCAGUGGGGAAUUUUGGACAAUGGGCGCAAGCCUGAUCCAGCCAUUCCGCGUGCAGGAUGAAGGCCUUCGGGUUGUAAACUGCUUUUGUACAGAACGAAAAGGCUCUGGUUAAUACCCGGGGCUCAUGACGGUACUGUAAGAAUAAGCACCGGCUAACUACGUGCCAGCCGCCGCCGUAA